rnacentral:rRNA from 1 species
CCUACGGGUGGCAGCAGUGGGGAAUUUUGGACAAUGGGGGCAACCCUGAUCCAGCCAUUCCGCGUGAGUGAAGAAGGCCUUCGGGUUGUAAAGCUCUUUCAGCUGGAGUGAAACGGUGCGCUCUAACAUAGCGCGCUAAUGACGGUACCAGCAGAAGAAGCACCGGCUAACUACGUGCCAGCAGCCGCGGUAAUACGUCGGGUGCGAGUGGUAGUCGGACGUACUGGGCGUAAUUGGUAAGCAAGCGGUGAAAUCCCCGGGCUUAACCUGGGAAUGGCAUGUUGAACUGGCAGUCUAGAGUGCGUCAGAGGGGGGUGGAAUUCCACGUGUAGCAGUGAAAUGCGUAGAGAUGUGGAGGAACACCGAUGGCGAAGGCAGCCCCCUGGGAUGACACUGACGCUCAUGUACGAAAGCGUGGGUAGCAAACAGGAUUAGAUACCCUAGUAGUC